GGGGAAUAUUGCACAAUGGGGGAAACCCUGAUGCAGCCAUGCCGCGUGUGUGAAGAAGGCCUUCGGGUUGUAAAGCACUUUCAGUCAGGAGGAAGGUGGUGUAGCUAAUAUCUGCACCAAUUGACGUUACUGACAGAAGAAGCACCGGCUAACUCCGUGCCAGCAGCCGCGGUAAUACGGAGGGUGCGAGCGUUAAUCGGAAUCACUGGGCGUAAAGAGCACGUAGGCGGCCUUGCAAGUCAGAUGUGAAAUCCAACGGCUUAACCGUUGAACUGCAUUGGAAACUGCAAGGCUAGAGUAUGGGAGAGGUAGGUGGAAUUCUCGGUGUAGGGGUAAAAUCCGUAGAGAUCGAGAGGAAUACUCAUUGCGAAGGCGACCUGCUGGAACAUUACUGACGCUGAGGUGCGAAAGCGUGGGGAGCAAACA
rnacentral:rRNA from 1 species